AUCACCAAUUCAACUACUUUUUCAAACCAAUUUAUUUCUUUUUCUUUCAACCUACUUCUCCCCAACUUGAAUUUUGACAUAACCCUUAAUGAAAUACAAUUGCUCUCUUAUCCUAAGACAAAGGUAGAGUAGUUGUUUUUCUUUUCUUUUGGCUUCAGGGUUUAUAAAACAAAAAAAAUUUCAAAAUUUAAGGCUCAAAAGGGGACACAAAAGAUCACUAUCUCGCAAGGUAGGUUAAAUUUGGCCAAGUAGUUAUCACUCAAAAAGAAACAAGGCCUUGAUCAUAUCCACAACAUCAAACACAUCAGUGACAUCAAGAUUAAGUUAAAAUCAAACGAGCAUACACAAUUGCCGGCUCUCAAAUAUUUAUGUAAACAAUGGAAAGUUCACACAUUCUCACCCGGCUAGAUUGGAUAACACAAGCUUCAAUCAUGUUUAACAAAAAAUAAUGAGAAUCAUCUUAGGACAAACAACACAAUUCAAGAACAUGUUGAGUUCCUAAGCAUAUUUCAAACAUUAAUCAAAAGUUGACAUAAGCUCUACAAAUCAAAAUUAUCAUGCUUGCUCAUUGAUUUACCACAAACCUGUCUUUCGGAUUUUCAAAAGCAUGUGAGCUUGUUUUCAAAAGGUAUUUACAUGUAUUUACAAUAUUUCAUGCUAGCAUAAAAAAACUUGUAAACAUAAUGAAAAUUACUAAAUUAAACCAAAUAUCAAAAUAAACCACCAUCAAGAUUCAAAAGAAACACAGAUGUUCACAUAAUAAAUCACAUGUUCAAAAAGGAAACAUAACUCCCACAUUGUUCACAAAAUGACCAUAAAACAUUCAAAAUAAACUAAUUAAACAUAAAGAAGUAAAUGACUAAAAGCUUUUAAAUUCUUCACUCAGUUUUGGAGAGCUUUUCAGUCAUCUACACGUCUGCUCAGUCAGACGCGGCAUCCUCGCUUCCAUCUCCCUCUUCCAUCGAAGCAUCUGAAACAGCAUUCUCAACAUCAUCACCUGCAUCACCCUCAGCAUCAACAUCAACACCAGCAUCUUCUCCUGCACCAACAUCAUCACCUGCACCACCCCCUCCUGAAAAAGUUGGCCUGACCCCAGGCCAAUCAACGUAAGCUAGAAACUCAGGAGGAGUCAUCACUGUCUGCCCUGAUUGUGACCUGAAAAUGGACUCGUGGACAGCAGUCAUCCCCGGCAACGGCGCCAUUUGAUGAAGUAUCAAAAGUAAGUAUUUUGGUUAUAUCGUAUCCGCAGGGACUAGUGCGAUAUCAAAAGCCGUUCAACAAUCAC
rnacentral:lncRNA from 1 species